AAAGAGGCAUUAUUUUCAUUCGAGGACGUGCCUUCCUCUUUGCCUCCUGCUGUCACUAACAUUUUGCAGGAGUUCGCUGACGUCUUUCCACAAGACGUGCCACCGGGAUUACCGCCUAUUCGAGGGAUUGAGCAUCAGAUUGACUUAAUUCCCGGUGCUUCACUGCCAAACCGUGCACCAUACCGUACCAAUCCAGAGGAGACGAAGGAGAUUAUGCGCCAAGUACAAGAGCUUCUCGACAAAGGUUAUAUACGCGAAUCCCUUAGUCCUUGUGCUGUUCCUAUUAUUCUAGUGCCGAAAAAGGAUGGUACAUCACGUAUGUGUAUUGAUUGUAGAGGCAUUAAUAAUAUUACUAUUCGUUAUCGUCAUCCUAUUCCUAGGCUAGAUGAUAUGCUUGAUGAAUUGAGUGGCUCUACAAUAUUCUCCAAAGUUGAUUUGCGUAGUGGCUACCAUCAAAUUCGUAUGAAAUUGGGAGAUGAAUGGAAAACAGCAUUUAAAACUAAGUUUGGAUUAUAUGAGUGGUUAGUCAUGCCUUUUGGGUUAACUAAUGCACCUAGUACUUUCAUGAGAUUAAUGAACGAAGUUUUACGUGCUUUCAUUGGACGAUUUGUGGUAGUUUACUUUGAUGACAUAUUGAUUUAUAGUAGAUCUUUGGAAGAACAUUUGGAACAUUUACGUGCUGUUUUUAUUGCUCUACAUGAUGCACGUUUGUUUGGUAACCUUGGGAAGUGCACCUUUUGCACCGACCGAGUAUCUUUUCUUGGCUAUGUUGUUACUCCACAGGGAAUUGAAGUUGAUAAAGCCAAGAUUGAAGCUAUUGAGAGUUGGCCGCAGCCCAAAACGGUCACACAAGUGAGGAGUUUUCUUGGCCUCGCUGGAUUCUAUAGGCGUUUUGUGAGAGAUUUCAGCACCAUUGCUGCACCUCUCAAUGAGCUUACAAAGAAAGAUGUGCCUUUUCUUUGGGGUACCGCACAGGAAGAAGCCUUCACGGUAUUGAAAGAUAAGUUGACACAUGCUCCUUUACUCCAACUUCCUGAUUUUAAUAAGACUUUUGAGCUUGAAUGUGAUGCUAGUGGAAUUGGAUUAGGAGGUGUGUUAUUACAAGAUGGCAAACCUGUUGCAUACUUUUCUGAAAAAUUGAGUGGGCCUAGUCUGAAUUAUUCUACUUAUGAGAAAGAAUUAUAUGCUCUUGUUCGGACUUUAGAAACAUGGCAACAUUAUUUAUGGCCCAAAGAAUUUGUUAUACAUUCUGAUCAUGAAUCUUUGAAACAUAUUAAAAGUCAAGCUAAACUGAAUCGUAGACAUGCUAAAUGGGUUGAAUUCAUUGAGACUUUCCCUUAUGUCAUUAAACACAAGAAGGGAAAAGAAAAUGUUAUUGCUGAUGCAUUGUCUCGUCGCUAUACUAUGCUUUCACAACUUGACUUCAAAAUAUUUGGUUUGGAGACUAUCAAAGAUCAAUAUGUGCAUGAUGCUGAUUUUAAAGAUGUAAUGCAGAAUUGUAAAGAAGGAAGAAUGUGGAACAAGUUUGUUGUUAACGAUGGAUUUGUGUUUCGUGCUAACAAGCUAUGCAUUCCAGCUAGCUCCGUUCGUCUUUUGUUGUUGCAGGAGGCGCAUGGAGGAGGAUUAAUGGGACACUUUGGCGUGAAGAAGACGGAGGACGUACUUGCUACACAUUUUUUUUGGCCAAAGAUGAGACGAGAUGUUGAGCGUUUUAUUGCUCGCUGCACUACAUGUCAAAAAGCUAAGUCACGACUCAAUCCUCAUGGUUUAUAUAUGCCUUUGCCUGUACCUAGUGUUCCUUGGGAGGAUAUAUCUAUGGACUUUGUUUUAGGUUUACCUCAAACAAAGAAGGGGAGGGAUAGCAUAUUUGUUGUCGUGGAUAGAUUCUCGAAAAUGGCACACUUUAUACCAUGUCAUAAAAGUGAUGAUGCUGUUAAUGUUGCUGAUUUGUUCUUUCGUGAAAUUAUUCGCUUGCAUGGUGUGCCAAAUACUAUUGUUUCAGAUCGUGAUACUAAAUUUCUUAGCCACUUUUGGAGAUGUUUAUGGGCUAAGUUGGGGACUAAACUGCUUUUUAGUACUACUUGUCACCCCCAAACUGAUGGACAAACUGAAGUAGUCAAUAGAACGUUGUCUACUAUGCUUAGGGCUGUUUUGAAGAAUAAUAAGAAAAUGUGGGAGGAAUGCUUGCCUCAUAUUGAAUUUGCUUAUAAUCGUUCAUUGCAUUCUACUACUAAGAUGUGCCCUUUUGAAGUUGUCUAUGGUUUCCUACCUCGUGCACCUAUUGAUUUGUUGCCUCUUCCAUCUUCGGAGAAGGUUAAUUUUGAUGCUAAACAACGUGCUGAAUUGAUUUUAAAAAUGCAUGAGUUAACUAAGGAAAACAUUGAGCGCAUGAAUGCUAAAUAUAAACUUGCUGGAGAUAAGGGUAGAAAACAUGUUGUGUUUGCACCUGGAGAUCUUGUUUGGUUACAUUUGCGUAAGGAUAGAUUUCCUGAUUUGCGCAAAUCAAAGUUAAUGCCACGUGCUGAUGGUCCCUUUAAGGUGUUAGAGAAAAUAAAUGAUAAUGCAUAUAAACUUGAGCUGCCUGCAGAUUUUGGGGUUAGUCCCACUUUUAACAUUGCAGAUUUGAAGCCUUAUUUGGGUGAGGAAGAU
rnacentral:rRNA from 1 species